rnacentral:SRP_RNA from 1 species
UUGAUAGACUAAUAGGGUGUCCAGGGCAGCACCUGAAGGAAGUAAUUCCGGACCGCAAAUGCUCUAUAUGGCGGUAUAAAAGCCGAUGUGAGGCUCUCGGAACGGCUAUACGAGCUCUAUCACGGCAAUGAGGACUGGCCCUAUGGGAUUGGCGGUGGAUAAGGCCUCUUCUGAAGGGAAGUUGUCAUUAUCCUCCAAUGGGCGAACCCAGCGAGACCAGGGAUGGAGCAGCGUAAGUCCUAACGUGCGAUGCUCAUAGGAUACUGGUCUGAGACCAGAUAGAGAAGUUCGGUAAUCGGGAAGGUGUCGAGUGUCGGGUCUAUCAA